AAGCUUGCUUCUUCUGAUUUUAGCGGCGGACGGGUGAGUAACACGUGGGCAACCUACCUUGUAGAUUGGGAUAACUCCGGGAAACCGGGGCUAAUACCGAAUAAUCCAUUUUGCUUCAUGGCGAAAUGUUAAAAGGCGGCUUCGGCUGUCACUGCAAGAUGGGCCCGCGGCGCAUUAGCUAGUUGGUAAGGUAACGGCUUACCAAGGCGACGAUGCGUAGCCGACCUGAGAGGGUGAUCGGCCACACUGGGACUGAGACACGGCCCAGACUCCUACGGGAGGCAGCAGUAGGGAAUCUUCCACAAUGGACGAAAGUCUGAUGGAGCAACGCCGCGUGAGUGAAGAAGGUUUUCGGAUCGUAAAACUCUGUUGUAAGGGAAGAACACGUACGAGAGUAACUGCUCGUACCUUGACGGUACCUUAUUAGAAAGCCACGGCUAACUACGUGCCAGCAGCCGCGGUAAUACGUAGGUGGCAAGCGUUGUCCGGAAUUAUUGGGCGUAAAGCGCGCGCAGGCGGUCCUUUAAGUCUGAUGUGAAAGCCCACGGCUCAACCGUGGAGGGUCAUUGGAAACUGGGGGACUUGAGUACAGAAGAGGAAAGCGGAAUUCCAAGUGUAGCGGUGAAAUGCGUAGAGAUUUGGAGGAACACCAGUGGCGAAGGCGGCUUUCUGGUCUGUAACUGACGCUGAGGCGCGAAAGCGUGGGGAGCAAACAGGAU
rnacentral:rRNA from 1 species